GACGGGGCCCGCACAAGCGGUGGAGUAUGUGGUUAAUUCGAUGCAACGCGAAGAACCUUACCUGGUCUUGACAUCCCGGAGACCCUUAGGAAACUAGGGGUGCUUCCAUCUGGAAGAAUCUGGAGACAGGUGCUGCAUGGCUGUCGUCAGCUCGUGUCGUGAGAUGUUGGGUUAAGUCCCGCAACGAGCGCAACCCUUGCCUUUAGUUGCCAGCAGUUCGGCUGGGCACUCUAAAGGGACUGCCGGUGUUAAACCGGAGGAAGGUGGGGAUGACGUCAAGUCCUCAUGGCCUUUAUGACCAGGGCUACACACGUACUACAAUGGCCGAUACAAAGGGCAGCGACACUGCGAGGUGAAGCCAAUCCCGUAAAAUCGGUCUCAGUCCGGAUUGGAGUCUGCAACUCGACUCCAUGAAGUUGGAAUCGCUAGUAAUCGUGGAUCAGCAUGCCACGGUGAAUACGUUCCCGGGCCUU
rnacentral:rRNA from 1 species